rnacentral:rRNA from 1 species
UACGAAGGGGGCUAGCGUUGUUCGGAAUCACUGGGCGUAAAGGGCUCGUAGGCGGCCAACUAAGUCGGAUGUGAAAUCCCCAGGCUCAACUUGGGAACUGCAUCCGAUACUGGAUGGCUUGAAUCCGGGAGAGGGAUGCAGAAUUCCAGGUGUAGCGGUGAAAUGCGUAGAUAUCUGGAGGAAUACCGGUGGCGAAGGCGGCAUCCUGGACCGGCAUUGACGCUGAUGAGCGAAAGCUAGGGGAGCAAACGGG